UGCAAGUCGAGCGAGAAAGUCUGUAGCAAUACAGAUGAGUAAAGCGGCGCACGGGUGAGUACAAAAUGAGUAACCUACCAGAAAGUUCGGGACAACUCUGGGAAACUGGAGCUAAUACCGGAUGUGGUUAUCAGGACUUCGGUUCUGAUAAUUAAAGGUGACCUCUCCAUGGAAGUUAUCGCUUUCUGAUGGGCUCAUUUCCUAUCAUGGUAGUUGGUAGGGUAAUGGCCUACCAAGCCGAUGACGGGUAGCUGGUCUGAGAGGACGGCCAGCCACGCUGGGACUGAAACACGGCCCAGACUCCUACGGGAGGCAGCAGUGGGGAAUAUUGGACAAUGGGCGAAAGCCUGAUCCAGCGACGCCGCGUGGGCGAUGAAGGUCUUCGGAUUGUAAAGCCCUGUGAGACGGGAAGAAAAGUGCGCGGGAAUAAUACCCCGUGUAUUUGACGGUACCGUCAGAGGAAGCACCGGCUAACUCUGUGCCAGCAGCCGCGGUAAUACAGAGGGUGCAAGCGUUGUCCGGAAUUACUGGGUGUAAAGGGCGCGUAGGUGUCCGGAUGUGUCA
rnacentral:rRNA from 1 species